CAGUCGCCGCGGUAAUACGUAGGUGGCGAGCGUUGUCCGGAUUUAUUGGGCGUAAAGGGAGUGUAGGCGGUCUUUUAAGUCUGAUGUGAAAGCCCCCGGCUCAACCGGGGAGGGUCAUUGGAAACUGGGAAACUUGAGUGCAGAAGAGGAGAGUGGAAUUCCACGUGUAGCGGUGAAAUGCGUAGAGAUGUGGAGGAACACCAGUGGCGAAGGCGACUCUCUGGUCUGUAACUGACGCUGAGGAGCGAAAGCGUGGGGAGCGAACAGGAUUAGAUACCCCAGUAGUCCCUGUCUCUUAUAC
rnacentral:rRNA from 1 species